UCGACCACACUUCUGGCUGGGUCCUGUUCAAGUAAGGUCGUACCUCUGUGUCCUUGAGUUCUAAGGAGACAGGAAACCAAACCUAGUGGAUGAUUCAUGACCUUGUGAUCAGAGCGUGAUUAACAAAUUGAUGCACUUCGGUUCAUUGUUGCUGUAGAGGAUCGUUCUCAUCUAGUUCUCUAGCUGGGGUGGUCGCACUGUUGUCUGACAGUUU